AUUGAACGCUGGCGGCAUGCCUAACACAUGCAAGUCGAACGGCAGCACAGUAAAGAUUUCGGUCUUUAUGGGUGGCGAGUGGCGGACGGGUGAGUAAUGCGUAGGAAUCUGUCCUGGAGAGUAGGAUAACCCGAGGAAACUCGGGCUAAUACUGCAUGAUAUCGAGAGAUCAAAGGCAGGGGACCCUUCGGGGCCUUGCGCUCUAGGAUGAGCCUACGUCGGAUUAGCUAGUUGGUGGGGUAAAGGCCUACCAAGGCGACGAUCCGUAGCUGGUCUGAGAGGAUGACCAGCCACACUGGGACUGAGACACGGCCCAGACUCCUACGGGAGGCAGCAGUGGGGAAUCUUGGACAAUGGGGGAAACCCUGAUCCAGCGAUGCCGCGUGUGUGAAGAAGGCCUUCGGGUUGUAAAGCACUUUAGUUGGGGAAGAAAAGUAAUGAGUGAAUAACUGAUUGCUCUGACGGUACCCAAAGAAUAAGCACCGGCUAACUCUGUGCCAGCAGCCGCCGCGG
rnacentral:rRNA from 1 species